rnacentral:rRNA from 1 species
GACAGAGGGUGCAAACGUUGUUCGGAAUUACUGGGCGUAAAGCGCGUGUAGGCGGCUCGGCAAGUCGGGUGUGAAAGCCCUGGGCUUAACCUAGGAAGUGCACUCGAAACUGCCAAGCUUGAGUUCUGGAGAGGAUGGCGGAAUUCCCCAAGUAGAGGUGAAAUUCGUAGAUAUUCGGAAGAACACCAGUGGCGAAGGCGACUCGCUGGACAAGUAUUGACGCUGAGGUGCGAAAGCGUGGGGAGCAAACAGG